rnacentral:rRNA from 1 species
UUAGACAACCAGGAUGUUGGCUUAGAAGCAGCCACCAUUGAAAGAGUGCGUAAUUGCACACUGGUCGAGUGACCCCGCGCCGAAAAUGUACCGGGGCUAAACAUAUUACCGAAACUGUGGAUGAACCCCUUUAGAGGUUCGAGGUAGGAGAGCGUUCUAAGGGCGGUGAAGUCAGUGGGGAAGGGCUGAUGGAGCGCUUAGAAGUAAGAAUGCCGGGAUGAGUGGCGAAGGAAGGGUGAGAAUCCCUUCCACCGA